UACAGGGGGGGCAAGCGUUGUUCGGAAUUACUGGGCGUAAAGGGUGCGUAGGCGGCGCGGUAAGUCGGGUGUGAAAUCUCGGGGCUUAACUCCGAAACUGCAUUCGAUACUGCCGUGCUUGAGGACUGGAGAGGAGACUGGAAUUUACGGUGUAGCGGUGAAAUGCGUAGAUAUCGUAAGGAAGACCAGUGGCGAAGGCGGGUCUCUGGACAGUUCCUGACGCUGAGGCACGAAGGCCAGGGGAGCAAACGGG
rnacentral:rRNA from 1 species